CAUGCAAGUCGAACGGUGAAGCAGAGCUUGCUCUGUGGAUCAGUGGCGAACGGGUGAGUAACACGUGAGCAACCUGCCCCGGACUCUGGGAUAAGCGCUGGAAACGGCGUCUAAUACUGGAUACGAGACGUGAUCGCAUGGUCAACGUCUGGAAAGAUUUUUCGGUCUGGGAUGGGCUCGCGGCCUAUCAGCUUGUUGGUGAGGUAAUGGCUCACCAAGGCGUCGACGGGUAGCCGGCCUGAGAGGGUGACCGGCCACACUGGGACUGAGACACGGCCCAGACUCCUACGGGAGGCAGCAGUGGGGAAUAUUGCACAAUGGGCGGAAGCCUGAUGCAGCAACGCCGCGUGAGGGAUGACGGCCUUCGGGUUGUAAACCUCUUUUAGCAGGGAAGAAGCGAAAGUGACGGUACCUGCAGAAAAAGCGCCGGCUAACUACGUGCCAGCAGCCGCGGUAAUACGUAGGGCGCAAGCGUUAUCCGGAAUUAUUGGGCGUAAAGAGCUCGUAGGCGGUCUGUCGCGUCUGCUGUGAAAACCCGAGGCUCAACCUCGGGCCUGCAGUGGGUACGGGCAGACUAGAGUGCGGUAGGGGAGAUUGGAAUUCCUGGUGUAGCGGUGGAAUGCGCAGAUAUCAGGAGGAACACCGAUGGCGAAGGCAGAUCUCU
rnacentral:rRNA from 1 species